UCCACAGUCAGUGCAGGACUCUGUGACAAACGUUCAGCCCCUGCCAGCCCUCACCAGGGGCUCUGUGCUCUCAGCCUUUUAGGAAACGCUGCUUCCAUCACCUCAGCUGUGAACCUGCAGCCUGCCCAGCUGAGGGGAGCAGAACCGCCAGUGUCUGGGCCAGUCCCAGGAGGGUUUGGGGCAGGCAGCACAGCCCGUGGCUCUGGUGGCUGUCACCUCCCAGACCACCCAGCCCUGCUCCGGGACCGCGGCACACGGCAGCGAGGGAUCCACGGAGUCUCCAGCCCUCAGGGGAGCAGAAUUCGUCAGGUCUUUUGGGGACUGAGGGACAUCCAGAGUGUCUGAAAGCUCCCCAGCCACCAUCAGAACACCCAGAGCUCUGCAGCCCAAUCCUCCCGACUGACUGGGCUCUGGAUUGAAAAACCCAACAGUCCCCAGCCCAGCUUCCUUCAGGAAGGUGCAGGGUGAGAUCUGUGUGAACCCAGCCCCACUGCUGGCUGGGUGGCUCUGCUGUCCAUCUCUCCAGGAGCUGCUGUGGGGGGAGCGCAGCGCUGGAACCAAGAGACCUCGGCUCGGACGGGACGGCGCUCACCAGACCCCUCCAGGCGUCUGCACCUGGGAUUUCAUCACACGGAGGAUGCAGGUCCGGCUGGAAGAGCUGCACUCUGCCCACACGAAGGAGGUGGCCGGUGCCAGAGGGGCUGGGGCUCAAUGGGGUGUGGAAACCUCUGGAGAGCCCAGCAGGAUCAGCUGUGACCCAGCCAGGCACUCAGCUGGGCUUGUCCCUCUUCUGCUGGACUUGCUCUGGCCACAUGCAAUCAGCCCAUCACUCCAAACCUUGCCUGCAUCUGUGUGUUCCUGCCAGUGAAUAGAGGGGAAAUGAGUCUGUGAAACUUGCCCCGUCCCAAAUCCCUCGGUGCUGCUAAACCUUCCUCCCCUGCCUGCACAGACACUCCCCGGGCAGUGGUCACCCCAGCACCUCCUGCCUGGCAGAUCCCUGCAGACACUCUGCCCCUGGCAUUGCCUCUGCUCCCUCCUCCUUGUUUUCUGCCUGAAUGGAUUUGGAUUAGACAAGACCUUCCCCAAAUGCACACAAUGUCCCUGCCAGUGCACAAAUACACCAGAGAAUACCAGCUUUCCACAACAGUAUUUCUAUGAUUUGACCAGACUGGCACCAGGUUAAUUAAAAAACCCCACAAUAUUUAAAUGCAGUUUCAUCAGGAGAAGUGCAAAAUGCCUCCAUAAGAAUUUCUGCCAGGACUUUUCAAACCCCGCAAAGCACAAUUAGACACAGUCAAAUAUUGCCCUGGUUAAAGACUAUUAGUUUUCCUUACAUUUGUCAUGAAUUAAUUUUUUCCGGCUGUAUCAACAGUGUUUCCUUUAUAAAUACAACUGUCUCCUUUACAUUGAAA
rnacentral:lncRNA from 12 species